rnacentral:tRNA from 1 species
UCCAGGGUAGCCUAGUGGACAUGGCAUCUGCCCGGUAAGCGGAACAUUGUGGGUUCCCAUCCCUGGAC